UAGAACUAAUAAUAAUAAACGCCUUCGCAGACGUAGAAGUUGUGUUGCUGGCUGUCCAAAGUUAGAAAGUUCACCAAUACACAAUUUAUUGAAGGAAUAUGAUUGUAUCUUGUUACUAAAGAAGAAAAAGAUCCGAAACGGCGGAGAAAGUGGGAGAAUUUUGUCCCCAAACAUCGACCAAAUUGUCAAGCUCCCGCUACAUCGUAUCUUUGAUCAACCAACUUUGACGAUUCAUAUUAUAACAUGAAUCCUGCGUUGACUAAGUCGCUCGAUACUAAAGCAACGUUGAAACACAGUGUCAUUCCUACUAUUGAUGUGGCAGGAAUUGUUCCAGCGGCUGAGGAGUUCGCAAUAGAGAGAAAACGAAGACAGGAUUGUGCGUCGCCGCAAAAGACUGUCUUCUCGGAAUUUCUUGUUUUCUUAUUCAAGAACUGAACAUGGAACAACAAGCGAGACUGCAAAUGAUUUUCGCCGUGGAUAUUCAUCCGACAUCGGAACUUAAUGUUCAAACGCUAUUAAGCAUGCAGUAAACACAUUGAGAAGUCAACCUAUGCUAGAUAGAUUUCCAGUUGGCAAUACCAUGACAAGCUUUGGCAUUUUGAUGUUUUCAUUCAAUAUUAUCAUGCUAUGUUGAUGUUUAGACACACGAAUUUACACACUAUUGCAACAUACCACAGCCUUCAAAGAGAAUUCUUAUUUUCAUUUUUUUGAAAAAUUGGGAAGUUUACAAAUUUGAUUUGAUUGAGGAAAUAAAGAACAAAGAAGAUGAAUCGCAGACAUUGUCAUGAGAUGGGUGGCUUGAUUUAAUGGAUCACAAUGCAAAAUAUGAUGCUUACACAAUGUUCAAAAAUCCAUCAUAAAACUAGUCCACUUUGAAUUCAUUCAGUUUGUGGUCACUCUCAUUCCAAUUUGUGAUCCAUACAAACGAUAAAGUUGUCCAUUCCUGUCCUUCAUAAAUGGGCCAACAUCCAAGACUGUUUGGAAAGUCAUGGGUCCAAAAUCAUGUUCAGUGAUACAAUUGAUGUGUUCAAUUCUGACAUCAAAAGUCAUCAUUCUUAUCACUAAUCCCAUUUCUUUACAGCAACAAUACUCCAAUGCACCAUUAAGUAACUCAAUAUGCAACUUUGACAAGUGCACCUCAGAGUUCAUUAAAAUAUAAAAAUACUUUGUGUUAUUCUUUAUGCAUUACAUAGUUCAUGUUGUUAAAACUAGAAAUUUAGUAGAUUAAAAAAACUAAUUGCAUUAUAAGCAAUAAACAAAGUUCAGUAAAUUAGUUAUUCAUGAUAUGAAUUAUAAUUGCAUAAAAUAUUUUAUUUUGACAGUUGACAGUGACAUGUGUUACAAUACAAGGC